GUUGUCCUCUAUUAGAAACUUCAAGGAGAAGAGCCUUCUCUGACCCUCCUGAGCAUCUCUGCUGGUUUCAAGGUUUAUUAAUGCCAGAAGAAGAAUAGUACAGCCCAUGAUUGACCAGUCAAAUCGAGCAGUGAGCCAAGGAGCAGCAUAUAGUCCAGAGGGUCAGCCCAUGGGGAGCUUUGUGUUGGAUGGUCAGCAACACAUGGGGAUCCGGCCUGCAGGACCUAUGAGUGGAAUGGGCAUGAAUAUGGGCAUGGAUGGGCAAUGGCACUACAUGUAACCUUCAUCAUGUAAAGCAAUCGCAAAGCAAGGGGGAAGUUUGCAGAGCAUGCCAGGGGACUACGUUUCUCAGGGUGGUCCUAUGGGAAUGAGUAUGGCACAGCCAAGUUACACUCCUCCCCAGAUGACCCCACACCCUACUCAAUUAAGACAUGGACCCCCAAUGCAUUCAUAUUUGCCAAGCCAUCCCCACCACCCAGCCAUGAUGAUGCACGGAGGACCCCCUACCCACCCUGGAAUGACUAUGUCAGCACAGAGCCCCACAAUGUUAAAUUCUGU
rnacentral:lncRNA from 1 species